rnacentral:rRNA from 1 species
UGCGUAGGCGGUCGGGAAAGUUUGAUGUGAAAGCUCCGAGCUCAACUUGGAAAAUGCAUUGAAAACUAUCCGACUAGAGGAUUGUAUGGGAGACUGGAAUUCUCGGUGUAGCAGUGAAAUGCGUAGAUAUCACGAGGAACACCAGAAGCGUAGGCGGGUGACUGGACGGGUACUGACACUCAGGCACGAAAGCGUGGGGAGCAAACA